UACGUAGGGGGCAAGCGUUGUCCGGAUUCAUUGGGCGUAAAGAGCGUGUAGGCGGCCAGGUAGGUCGGUUGUGAAAACUGGAGGCUCAACCUUCAGACGUCGACCGAAACCAUCUGGCUAGAGUCCGGGAGAGGAGAGUGGAAUUCCUGGUGUAGCGGUGAAAUGCGCAGAUAUCAGGAGGAACACCGGUGGCGAAGGCGGUUCUCUGGGCAUUACCUGACGCUGAGGAGCGAAAGCAUGGGGAGCGAACAGG
rnacentral:rRNA from 1 species